UACGUAGGGACCAAGCGUUGUUCGGAUUUACUGGGCGUAAAGGGCGCGUAGGCGGCGCGGUAAGUCACUUGUGAAAUCUCUGAGCUUAACUCAGAACGGCCAAGUGAUACUGCAGUGCUAGAGUGUGGAAGGGGCAAUCGGAAUUCUUGGUGUAGCGGUGAAAUGCGUAGAUAUCAAGAGGAACACCUGAGGUGAAGACGGGUUGCUGGGCCAACACUGACACUGAUGCGCGAAAGCCAGGGGAGCAAACGGG
rnacentral:rRNA from 1 species